rnacentral:rRNA from 1 species
AACGAACGCUGGCGGCAGGCUUAACACAUGCAAGUCGAGCGAGAUCUUCGGAUCUAGCGGCGGACGGGUGAGUAACGCGUGGGAAUAUACCCUUCUCUACGGAAUAGCCUCGGGAAACUGAGAGUAAUACCGUAUACGCCCUUCGGGGGAAAGAUUUAUCGGAGAAGGAUUAGCCCGCGUUGGAUUAGGUAGUUGGUGGGGUAAUGGCCUACCAAGCCGACGAUCCAUAGCUGGUUUGAGAGGAUGAUCAGCCACACUGGGACUGAGACACGGCCCAG